CCAAAGGUUGACUACAAGUCCCC
rnacentral:siRNA from 1 species